AACUUGAAGCCUUUCAGAUUGCAGCUUCAAAUUUGAACAUCACAUCUCCAAAAGCUAUUUUGAUAGAAAGAAGAGCCAUAAAAAAGCUACGAGAUAAGAUCCGUGGUACUGAUUCUAAAAAAGAGAAGCUCUUGAGCUAUCUUCUGCAUCUCCUAGAUAAGCAUGGAAGGAAAAUGAGGCCUGAUAUUUGUGAGCACAAAGAGAAUGUCAAUGCAGAAAGUAAGUGCCCGACUCCAGGCAUAAAUUUUGCAUGUGAUGCUGAUAACUCUGAAAACAACGAUGAGCCUACUGAUCAUGGUGAGGCUCAAGCUGAUCUAUCAAGAACUAUUGCACCUCCUGAGGAAUUCUGUUGUCCUAUUUCAUCAAGAUUGAUGUUUGAUCCCGUGGUUAUUGCUUCCGGGCAAACAUAUGAAAGGAUAUGGAUAGAAAAGUGGUUUGAUG
rnacentral:lncRNA from 1 species